rnacentral:rRNA from 1 species
UACGUAGGGGGCAAGCGUUGUCCGGAUUUAUUGGGCGUAAAGAGCGUGUAGGCGGUUAGGUAGGUCCGUUGUGAAAACUCGAGGCUCAACCUCGAGACGCCGAUGGAAACCAUCUAACUAGAGUCCGGAAGAGGAGAGUGGAAUUCCUGGUGUAGCGGUGAAAUGCGCAGAUAUCAGGAAGAACACCCGUGGCUAAGGCGGCUCUCUAGUACGGUACUGACGCUAGACGCGAAAAGCGUGGGGGAGCGAACAGGAUU